CCCAUUUUAUUAUAAUUGAAAAGAAGAAAAUUGGAAAGCAGUCUCCAGCCAUAUAUAUAGCCUCCAAAAUUAUUAAAGGAUAAUUUUUCAGUCUACCAAAGGGAAAAUUGAAAAAAGAAAAUGUCGCUGAAAACAAAAAUGUAAUAUAUAACCGUCCUACCAAAUAAAGAUAUCAUGAGAAUCUUUUUAAUCCUUCCCUUAUCUUUGCCUGCACCUGCCCAUCUAACAUCUGCUGCAUAUAUACACGGGAUUUCAGUUGGCUCUUGUAUAAGGUAUG
rnacentral:misc_RNA from 1 species